rnacentral:lncRNA from 1 species
GGUGACUUAUGCCCUUUGUUCCUCGUAGGCUCGCUGGGGAGCGGUGUCAACACCCCAUUAAAAAAACAGAUAGGGAGAACUGGUGGUGCUCGCCUCAUUGCCAGGAGCUUCAGAAUAGACCUCUGGGAGAAAAUUCAGUUAAGAAGGUCACAAGAGGGCAGCCACACUUGGAAUGCCACACAGACGUGCCUUAUAAAGAGGAUGAAGAUACCUGAUUCUCUCAGACUCUCCUGCUGCAUCCUAUUCUCCACCACCCUCACCUUCUUCUUGUGAUGUCCAGUGGUCUCACUCCUCAAUGAAAAUGUCUUCCUUGUGCUGGGGAUUCCCAAACUGAGCAGAGGACUCCGGACACAGGCUCAUAAGUGCCAAAGAGAUGGUAAGCAUCACAGA